rnacentral:rRNA from 1 species
GACGAACGCUGGCGGCGUGCCUAAUACAUGCAAGUCGAGCGCUGAAGGUUGGUACUUGUACCAACUGGAUGAGCAGCGGACGGGUGAGUAACGCGUGGGGAAUCUGCCUUUGAGCGGGGGACAACAUUUGGAAACGAAUGCUAAUACCGCAUAAUAACUUUAAACACAAGUUUUAAGUGUGAAAGAUGCAAUUGCAUCACUCAAAGAUGAUCCCGCGUUGUAUUAGCUAGUUGGUGAGGUAAAGGCUCACCAAGGGGGUGAUACAUAGCCGACCUGAGAGGGUGGUCGGCCACAUUGGGACUGGGACACGGCCCAAGAUCCUACGGGAGGCAGCAGUAGGGGAUCUUCGGCAAUGGACGAAAGUCUGACCGAGCAACGACGCGUGAGUGAAGAAGGUUUUCGGGUCGUAAAACUCUGUUGGUAGGGAAGAACGUUAGUGAGAGUGGAAAGCUCAUAAAGUGACGGUAACUACCCAGAAAGCGACGGCUAACUACGUG